UACGUAGGCAGCAAGCGUUGUUCGGAGUUACUGGGCGUAAAGGGUGCGUAGGCGGUUGUUUAAGUUUGGUGUGAAAUCUCCCGGCUCAACUGGGAGGGUGCGCCGAAUACUGAAUGACUCGAGUGCGGGAGAGGAGAGUGGAAUUCCUGGUGUAGCGGUGAAAUGCGUAGAUAUCAGGAGGAACACCGGUGGUGUAGACGGCUCUCUGGACCGUAACUGACGCUGAGGCACGAAAGCGUGGGGAGCAAACGGG
rnacentral:rRNA from 1 species